AAGUCGUAACAAGGUUUCCGUAGGUGAACCUGCGGAAGGAUCAUUAAAAGUAUAUAGUUAUACAUUCUCUGUAUCGACUAAAUAUACCCAUUCUGCGUACCUUGCCUGUUGCUUCCAUGGAGCCUGACACACGUCACUCUGGGGAUUUACAUCCCGAGGGAGCCUCCGUGGAAGGUAAUCAAUUAACUCUUGAAUCCAAUGUCAUCUGUCUGAUAAUGUUUAUAACAAAUGUUAAAACUUUCAACAACGGAUCUCUUGGUUCUCGCAUCGAUGAAGAACGCAGCGAAAUGCGAUAAGUAGUGUGAAUUGCAGAAUUCAGUGAAUCAUCGAAUCUUUGAACGCACAUUGCGCCUCCUGGUAUUCCGGGAGGCAUGCCUGUUCGAGCGUCAUUAAAUACCACUCAAGCUCUUCUGCUUGGUCAUGGAGGAAGAGUAUGCUUGCAUCCUCUCUUCUGAAAUCGAAUGGCAGACCGCCUCAUGUGCCUCGCGUAGUAAGUUCAUCUUUUCGCUUGGAGCGUGAGACAGUCUCGCCAUCAACCCCCAUACUUCUAAGGUUGACCUCGGAUCAGGUAGGGAUACCCGCUGAACUUAAGCAUAUCA
rnacentral:rRNA from 1 species